GGACGAGUGCCCGAGUGGUUAAAGGGGGCGGAUUGUAAAUCCGCUGCGUUACGCUACAUUGGUUCAAAUCCAAUCUCGUUCA
rnacentral:tRNA from 1 species